rnacentral:piRNA from 1 species
UGUGUACAGUUUGAUUCCUCCAAAC